rnacentral:lncRNA from 1 species
CUCUCACAAUUGAUGCCACCCCAGAAGAACAUGAUGCUCCACACGGUCAGGCAGAGCUCUGGACAGAGAAGUUUGUACAGCCCCCUGUGUACAAUACUGCACUGGACAAUGCUGGGGUGGAGAUGAGGGGCUCACCCCUGCCACCACAGUACUUCUCAGUAGUCCAGAAUUAAUUUGCAUUUGCUUCUUUCUGUCUUGCUAAGACAAAUUUUCAAUACAAACAACAUGCUGUACUUUCAUCUCUGCUUUUUAAAGGUGUCUUUAAUUAUAUGUGGUUCCUGAGAAAUUGUUAUUAACAAUUUAGUUAAGAUCUGAGUGGUUGUAUCUGGAAAUAAAAAGAUUAUAGUGUCUUUUGAUACUUACUUCAUGUUUCCUUCUUUACGAUGGAGAUUCUGCUGUUGGAGAUCCUUUCUGAGUUCUGAAUUCCUCCCUCUGCAUUUCCCCCUUGGCAUGGGCCUGUGUUCUCUUUUUUCCCCAGAACCCAAGCACUAGUGAAGUCUCACAGAAUAUACCCAACACGACCUGACUGUGGCCCUGGUAGUCCAGCUGCACAGAGGAAGACCUUCUCCAGAUGCAAUGAUACUUCUUUGCAACCUUCUAAAUGGCGUGAGAGUCACAACAAAGUGAUGCUAUACAGGAUAUGCUGACAGACUCACAUGUCCCAUUUAUUAUUUGGCUUAGUGCUUCCCCUUUUCAGGAUGUUCUAGAGUCCCCACCCUCAGCCCCUAAGUACCUUUGGUUCCCUGCAUCUCCAAAGAGCUCUCUGGACUGGUGUGGGUUGCUGAAGCUGCUGUGGGAGAAAGACAUCUAAAAGAAGCCACGUGAAGACUCCUGGGCUUUGAGACAACAUACAGGGAGAAGGAAUCCACCACCAAAAAAACCCCAUCCUUGUUCAGGAGCCUGCUCCACUGCAUAGUCGGGGAUGCAGGAGGAGACAUCAGGUGGACACCCGUGCCCCUGGCUCUGCACAUCUGCACAUGCACACAGCCAUGUGUGUCACCAGUGGCAGAGGAUCCUCCAGCCUCUGUUAUGCUUUGGAAC